AUGCAGCUGGCUUCUGCUGGAGGUUGUGAGCAAGAAACGCCAGAAGCUGCCCAACAGCGUGAAGCUCUCCGUUCCGGAGAAGCCGUAGGGAGGAUGACGGCAACGACGGAUGUUAAUGAAGAGCAGCCUGCAGAGGAAAAAGAAAGGAUGUGGGGAGAGGGGUGCCCUCCGGCUGAGGAGGGGACCCCGUGCGUGGAGGUGAGAUGGGGCUUAGCCCUGAAGUUUUCAAGGGUUCCCCUUGCGUGCGGGUCAAACUGGGGUGUCCUCCGGCUGAGGAGGGGACCCCGUGCGUGCCAGUGAGAUGGGGCUUAGCCCUGAAGUUUUCAAGGGUUCCCCUUGCGUGCGGGUCAAACUGGGGUGCCCUCCGGCUGAGGAGAGGACCCCGUGCGUGGAGGUGAGAUGGGGCUUAGCCCUGAAGUUUUCAAGGGUUCCCCUUGCAUGUGGGUGAAACUGGGGUGCCCUCCGGCUGAGGAGAGGACCCCGUGCGUGGAGGUGAGAUGGGGCUUAGCCCUGAAGUUUUCAAGGGUUCCCCUUGCAUGUGGGUGAAACUGGGGUGCCCUCCGGCUGAGGAGAGGACCCCGUGCGUGGAGGUGAGAUGGGGCUUAGCCCUGAAGUUUUCAAGGGUUCCCCUUGCGUGCGGGUCAAACUGGGGUGCCCUCCGGCUGAGGAGAGGACCCCGUGCGUGCCAGUGAGAUGGGGCUUAGCCCUGAAGUUUUCAAGGGUUCCCCUUGCUGUGGGUGAAACUGGGGUGCCCUCCGGCUGAGGAGGGACCCCGUGCGUGGAGGUGAGAUGGGGCUUAGCCCUGAAGUUUUCAAGGGUUCCCCUUGUUUGCAAGUAGAACUGGGGUGCCCUCCGGCUGAGGAGAGGACCCCGUGCGUGGAGGUGAGAUGGGGCUUAGCCCUGAAGUUUUCAAGGGUUCCCCUUGCAUGUGGGUGAAACUGGGGUGCCCUCCGGCUGAGGAGGGGACCCCGUGCGUGGAGGUGAGAUGGGGCUUAGCCCUGAAGUUUUCAAGGGUUCCCCUUGCAUGUGGGUGAAACUGGGGUGCCUCCGGCUGAGGAGGGACCCCGUGCGUGCAGUGAGAUGGGGCUUAGCCCUGAAGUUUUCAAGGGUUCCCCUUGCGUGUGGGUCAAACUGGGGGUGCCCUCCGUGCUGAGGAGAGGAACCCCGUGGCGUGGAGGUGAGAUGGGGCUUAGCCUGAAGUU
rnacentral:lncRNA from 7 species